rnacentral:tRNA from 1 species
GGGGUUGUGGCUCAGCGGUAGAGAGCUCGUCAAGUAUGUGUGAGGAGCUGAGUUCGAUCCUCAGCACCACA